UUUUUUUUUUUUUUUUGUUAGGGUCAAUCGGCAACAUAACUUUCAUUAAUAUGAAGAAAUUAGAAUUAUAGAGUUAGAGCAACUGCUCCUUAAACAUAUGCUUGAGCAAACUCAAGCAUCCAAACUAAGAAGCUAACCUUUCAUUGAGUGACAUUUUUCAAAUUUAAAGCAAACUUUACUAAUUUGUGAUUAACAAUGUUGUUUACUCUCCUAGUCAACAAGAGAUAACAAUCAUUAAAACUUAACUUUAAAUACCCGUUUGGAUUAAUAUUUUUUUAAAAUUUUUGUUAAAAGAAUAUACUAUAAUGAUUUGAUACAUGUGAAAUAAACAGAUAUUUGAAAAAUGUGUUCACGAGAAACGUAAGAUUAUUUUGGAGGAAAAUGACUUUCCAAAUACCUUUAAUACAGUACUAAAUAAGACAUCCUCAGUUGCAUCAUUGAUCUUAUCUGUAAGGGUUCACAAUUUGAUUCAGUCUCUAUCUUCAACCAGCCUUGCUCUUUAGCUCUGAUUGUGGCAGCUCAAACUGCAAAGGCUUCUUUUGAUCUUGCUUCUAGUCUUGCCAUAGCAGAUCAAUGUGGUUGAAUUUAAGUUAAAAAAAAAAAGUCAUGUAUACUGUCAUUCACACUUAAAAGUUUCAACUCAAAGUCUUCAACGUUUCUUAAUUUGUUUGUCCUGAUGCACAAGCAACAUAAUCAACAGAACUAAACUAGGGGGAGCGCCCGCACAUCGCGCGGGUGUUUGGUACUUGUGGGGAAGGAGAUUUUUUUGUUGAACAAACAAUAGUACAUUGUGAGAAAAAAUAAAACGUAGUAUGAAAAGCUAAACGAUAUAAUCAAUCAAUUCACACAGCGUUACAAUAAAACUGUGUCAAAUUGAACGUUGUUGAUAAUGCAGAAAGGCAGAGCAACACAGAAAACUAACCUUAUUCCAGAAUCCCCACCGAGAGCUUUUACUUGCUGUUGCUCCAGACCUAUAAGAUUAUAACCAACCCAAACUAAUUGGGGCUAGACAACCCGAUAAGAGUCUCUAAUUGUAGGUACUACGAACACACCGACAAAUUUGGGAGGGGGUGGAAUCUAACCUCACGCUGAAUCACUAUGAGUAGUUGGGACUGAAAAGUAUUCUGAGCUGAUUAGUGUGAAAUCAGGUAGAAUUAUCCCAAUUCUAGAAUGCAAACAGGGAGAAACUAAUAAUCAACCGUUUAGACAUUAACGUACCAACGGUUUGGCAAUUGAAUUGGGUAUAAUUAGUGACGAAAUAAUAGGUAAUUUCAGAGUUGAGUUCGGAUGGAAGAGAAAACGAUGAGGCAAAUCAUUGUAGACAAAGACAAAAAGAGAAAACUUAACUCCUGAAGUUGAAAGGAGAUAAAUUGACCAACGUUUGUGACUCAUAAAUACAGAUUAUAAAUGAUAGAGAAUUGGGUUCCUACCAUUGAUAGAGAAAUCGUUGGCUCAUUUCCUAAAUCCGAUUGCCAUUCAAACGUUUCAGACAAAGUAACAUCUCAAAUGGUUAUCUGCGGCUGAAAAGGAAAAUUAUUGGUAGCUAAGAGAUAUUCCGGUAAUUACACCAACACACAGGCAUAUAUGGAUUAUACAAAAAUGUAAAAACUGUUGCACACUAAUCACACAUUCCAUCAAUACCCAGAUGACUCAUCAAUGACAACUUUAAAUGUAUUAAAAUGGGGUCAUUUCAGUAAAUAUAUCCAAAUACAUGCUUCCUUAAUUUGUACCUAAAAUUUUUAAACUAAUACACAAUAUUUCACAUUUUCAAAAAACUCUCACCUAUGCAGUUGAAAUUCAUCCUAUUUUUUGACCAAAACUCAAUCUUAGUAAAAGAACUAGGAGGAGAAUGCCCGCACAUCGCGCGAGUGUUUGGUGCCUGUGAUUAAAGAAAAUUUUACGGUAGUUCAAGCGAAUAUCAAAAAACUCACGCACAUUGAGUAACAAUAUGAAGUAACAAAAUAUCUAAUGUAUACUGGGAGAUGAAGAAGGAAAUUAUGCAUGCUAUCUUGCUUGGUUCAUAUAUUUUGAAACAAACACUUGUAUAUGAGUUUUUCAUUAACAAGACUAAAUGAACUUUAAACAGAUACUCAAACGAUUCAGAUAAUGGCAUAACAAAGUGAUUAUCCACUUAAAGAUGCAUCUACACAACAUUCUUGUUGAUGAGUAGCCAACUUUUUUAGCAACGACAAAGCCUAGUCUCGAAAGGUUUGGUUCCAUUAGAGGACUCAACAAUAGAUCAUCAACCCCCGUAGAUUUUGGGUGAACAUAAUGCCAAAUGCCCUUAGCAUAGGUCUUCGCCUGUAAUUUCGUUAACUCAAUACUGAUUAGAUCUUUCUCCCAAAAAUAAGGACAAUUGAGAAAAAUCACAUCAAGAUCGAAGUAGUCUAAUAUCUCCAGCCAAAUCCUUGAUGCCAUGUUAUGUGCUAAAUUGCCAUCAACACUAUCCCCACCAAAAACACGCAAUCAAAGCCAGCAUAAUCCCUAAACCAUACCUCAGGACCGUCGCCAUUUGAAUGAAGGGCAACCCAUUUGACUGCAAUCUAAGAAUCUUCAUAAGCAAUAGGCAAAGGAUACUCAGGGGUGAGCCGAUAGUUAAUUGAAACUGCUACAACACCAGCUUCUGCAACUACUACAUUAAGGUGUGUGUGAUAUAUAGGAGAGAAAGCAGAUUUGAUAAAAAAGCCUCCACCAUGUAAGUAGACCAGAAGAGGAAGUUUUGUAUCUCCAAAUCUAUUCCAACAAAACCACAUCAUUUAAAUUGUAUAGAACAACCAACUUUGUGGGGAAACAAUAAUAUCAAUAUUAAAUUGCACUAACAGAGUAUCCAAUUUUGGAAUGAAAGCAUUUAGCUAACAAUAGAAAUUACGAUUUUACAAAGCAAAUCAUACCAUUAAAAAAAAGAAUGAAACCUCACCUCAAGUUGAACCACCAAGAAUAGCUUCACCAGAGAACCAUAUUGAAAUCCAGAGUACAAUGACAAUACAAAUAAGUAUUUACCGGAAGACGAAAGGAACAUAACGGAAGAAUGUGAAGGGGCAGACAUUUGAAGAAUUGAAGUUGAAACUAAUGCUCAAUCAUAAAUUCCUUAAUAAACCAUAUUGCCCUUGCUUUAAUUGAGAUGAAAAUGACGUUUUGAAGUUCUUCAAGUUAUAAUAGCAAAGUAACAGUAAUAAUUGAUACAAACCAAAAUAAAUGUCUCUGCAAGGACAUUUAAGUAAUUACACUAAUAAAGAAGCUAUUAUGGAUUGUAUCUAUUGUAGAAAAGAUGAUCAAAUAAUCUCACAUUUCCAAAUUACCCAAACCUUUGAACAAAUCAUCACUGCAUCUUUUAGAAUACAAGGACAUUUCAGUAAACACAAUAAUACCCAUGCUAUCUAAAGUAGUACCCAAUAUUAUAACUACAUUCAAAAUAACCUCACAAUUCCCAAAUACCCCUACUCUUGCCGUUGAAGUUUAAAGCCAUUAUUUGACCCAAACUCAUUCUUAUAUAGUAUAAGGAAAUCGAAUCUGUCAUUCGAAUUGUACAUUCUGUUAAUAUGCUCAAAACAGCACACCAACCUCACAGCCGGGGAAGGAUUCAUUGUCCAUUUUAGAGAAUAGCUAAAAAUCCAAUAUGUCGAAGAAAUUGUUGCUAAAUAUUACGAUGGGUUAUGGUAAUUUGAAACUCAAAAAGUUUUCUUCCAAAUUCCACGACAAUUACUUUCGCUUUUCCCGGUUUGUGAAGAAACAGGGAAAAGUUUUUCAAAUAAAUCAAAAUCCUUCUCUGGCGGAGAAGUAAUUCCCUAAUUCUCGUUUUUGGGGAAGAGUUUUUCAAAUAAUCAAACAUUGUAGCUCUUGUUUGAGAAGUUAUGCAUGUAACUAUUAUAUAUCUAUUAUUGUUUUAAUGGACAAAUGUGAUAAUUCAUUAGCUUUAAAUGGACCGCUCACCAUUAUCACUUUCCUUCCAUGAAAAACCUUUGGAUCAAUCCAAAUUAGACACUUUCCCUUUUCGUCUCCCCCUCCCAUAUUCCAAUACACCAGCUGUUUGCUUUACCAGGCGAGUCGAGGCCACAAUGAAUGUUUUCCAGGUGGAGACAUUCCUCCAAUACAAUACCAUGUUCAUUUGCUAUUUGCAGCCUAUAUCUAGAAUCAUCGACAAAAAUCGACGAGACUAAUCCCGAGACCAACUACCAAAAAAUAUCUCCCGUCUGCUGUGUAAUGAAUGGCCGACAAACAAUUCCAUCCAAAAAAAAAAAAAAAGGACCACACAAAUCACAGCUGCAAUCCAAAGAAUAUUUGCAAGUUGAGCCCCAAAGUUUGAUGAUUCUAUUCCAUUAAACCCCAAAAUUCUAACCACAUAAAAACAUCUCAAGCAUUAUACACCAAAACAACCACGGAUACCGCCAUGAUCAUCAUCUACCGAACCGCAUCAUUUCCCAUAUUCACAAUCCACUACUCUUUCCCUAACAAACAGAAAACAUCAUUUAUUUAUUUUCCCUACUCCGAAGUCCGUACUACCUCUAUACCUAUACAGAUACUUGGAAACUACUGUAAG
rnacentral:lncRNA from 1 species